rnacentral:rRNA from 1 species
UGAGUAACACGUGGGUAACCUGCCUGUAAGACUGGGAUAACUCCGGGAAACCGGGGCUAAUACCGGAUAACACCUACCCCCGCAUGGGGGAAGGUUGAAAGGUGGCUUCGGCUAUCACUUACAGAUGGACCCGCGGCGCAUUAGCUAGUUGGUGAGGUAAUGGCUCACCAAGGCGACGAUGCGUAGCCGACCUGAGAGGGUGAUCGGCCACACUGGGACUGAGACACGGCCCAGACUCCUACGGGAGGCAGCAGUAGGGAAUCUUCCGCAAUGGACGAAAGUCUGACGGAGCAACGCCGCGUGAGUGAAGAAGGUUUUCGGAUCGUAAAACUCUGUUGUUAGGGAAGAACAAGUGCCGUUCGAAUAGGGCGGCGCCUUGACGGUACCUAACCAGAAAGCCACGGCUAACUACGUGCCAGCAGCCGCGGUAAUACGUAGGUGGCAAGCGUUGUCCGGAAUUAUUGGGCGUAAAGCGCGCGCAGGUGGUUUCUUAAGUCUGAUGUGAAAGCCCACGGCUCAACCGUGGAGGGUCAUUGGAAACUGGGGAACUUGAGUGCAGAAGAGGAAAGUGGAAUUCCAAGUGUAGCGGUGAAAUGCGUAGAUAUUUGGAGGAACACCAGUGGCGAAGGCGAC